AACCCCACUUCCCACGGGCAUUUGGCGCUUUGCAGGUGAAGAUGGAUGGCUCUCUGGUUUUCAAGUAAUCUGAUAAACCCUGAGCCCUUGGGGUUUGGAGGGAGAGCGGUGCCCCCGGCUGAUGUGGGGAAUUCUGGCUGGCUAUUCAGAGUUCUUAGUGCUGGGAUGUAGGAGUGGCUCGUACACUGUGAAACACCUUCAGAGGAGAAGUAGAGCUCCUGUUGUCUGAACAACAGCGUAAAUCAAACGGUGUGAAACCUGAGUGAAGGGGGCUGAACACCUUAGCCAAAGCCACACCGCAAAGCAAGGGACGGAGUCCGGGUUAGAACGCUGGCGUGUGCGCUCUGAAGCCCGUGCGUCUGACCACCGCGUGACACCAGCACUGUGAGUCUGUGAGGCACAGUGCUGGGAAAUAAAUUUGUGAAAACUGCCGGGGCCAGUUGGGGGGGGGCUCUGAACUUUGGACAUGGUUGUCUUUUGGGCAGCAGGGAGCCACUAGAUGAAAAAGGGCAGAAGUCUGCUCCUCCUUCUCCCCUAAAAUGGAUAUGUUACUUGUAAGUCCAUGGGCACAUGCAGGGUAGUUGCUUCCACCCCAUUUCCAUGGGCUCUCAUGCCGCCUUCCCCCCCCACCCCCCAGAGAGGGCUAUCACCAUUCCUGUUGCACUCUUCCAAUUACUUUUAAAAACAAAAUAAAAAUUAUUUAAAAGCCC